rnacentral:rRNA from 1 species
AACCUGCCCUUCAGAGGGGGACGAACAGUUGGAAACGACUGCUAAUACCGCAUACGAUCUAAUCUCGGCAUCGAGGAUGGAUGAAAGGUGGCCUCUAUUUAUAAGCUAUCACUGAAGGAGGGGAUUGCGUCUGAUUAGCUAGUUGGAGGGGUAACGGCCCACCAAGGCAAUGAUCAGUAGCCGGUCUGAGAGGAUGAACGGCCACAUUGGGACUGAGACACGGCCCAGACUCCUACGGGAGGCAGCAUG